rnacentral:SRP_RNA from 1 species
GCCGGGUGUGGUAGUGUGCACCUGUAGUCCCAGCUACUUGGGAGGCUGAGGCAAGAGGAUCACUUGAGCCCAGGAGUUUCAGGCUGCAGUGAGCCAUGAUCAUGCCACUGCACUCCAGGCUGGGCAACAUAGCAAGACCCUGUCUUUU